rnacentral:rRNA from 1 species
UACGGAGGGUGCGAGCGUUGUCCGGAAUCAUUGGGCGUAAAGGGCGCGUAGGUGGCCCGGUCAGCGUGCGGUGAAAGCUCGGGGCUCAACCCCGAGUCGGCCGUGCGAACUGCUGGGCUCGAGCACUGUAGAGGCAGGCGGAAUUCCGGGUGUAGCGGUGGAAUGCGUAGAGAUCCGGAAGAACACCGGUGGCGAAGGCGGCCUGCUGGGCCAGGUAGCUGGACACUGAGGCGCGACAGCGUGGGGAGCAAACAGG